rnacentral:rRNA from 1 species
CAGUAGCCACGGGAAUACGAAGGGGGCUAGCGUUGUUCGGAAUCACUGGGCGUAAAGGGUGCGUAGGCGGGUCUUUAAGUCGGGGGUGAAAUCCUGGAGCUCAACUCCAGAACUGCCUUUGAUACUGAAGAUCUUGAGUUCGGGAGAGGUGAGUGGAACUGCGAGUGUAGAGGUGAAAUUCGUAGAUAUUCGCAAGAACACCAGUGGCGAAGGCGGCUCACUGGCCCGAUACUGACGCUGAGGCACGAAAGCGUGGGGAGCAAACAGGAUUAGAUACCCGUGUAGUCCCUGUCUCUUAUAC